UUACGCCGAGGCUCUGAAGUGGGUAAUUGCAGACCAAAGCUAGGCUGGAAGGCUAUAUUUGAGAUGGUCAUUAGCGUUGUGGUCUGUUUAGCGUUAUGAAGCCUACCUUGACUCCCAGAUGUUCACUGUGAAUCUUGUUGGUGCUGGUAUCACUGUACCUCUCAAAUAGCUUCCCCAUUUUGACGAAGAAUGAAGAGGUUCUUGGAUAAAGAACUUGUAAAAAUCAGCCUUCUGCCCCAGAGUCUUCUCCAAAGAUACAGGAGCUUGCUGGACCCACUUGCAAGGGAAGCCUGGAAGUUGGGGAGUUAAUGCCAUCACGACACUCUCAACCAGUGAAUCAUGAGCUAACUUCUGACUCAUGUGUAGUUGAAGCUUAUCCUUCAAGGACGGUCACCCUCCUACCAGCCACCUAGACUGGGAAACUGGAUAACCUUCCAGACAAAGCCCUCUCAUGCCCAGAAAAGGCCCUGCUGUGCUGUUCCUUUGAUGGUUAGAAGGUUUGCCCAUCCGGCAAACAUAGCAGCUUUGCCUCCCUUGCCCAAAGAGAAGUUCUGUAAAUGCUUGUCCUGAAUUUUAAAAACCAACAUGUUUUCCUCACUAUUAGCCAUCUAAGAGGUAGUCUUACUAAAUUUUUGUUAUGUUUGCCUAGUUCUCUGUCUACUUAGAUAAACCUGAAUCAGUGUUAUCUUUAUUAGACCGUGUAUUCUUGAAAAUCAAAGAUUUCCAUUUUUUCCACUGGAAAAAUUCUAAUUACAUCAUAAAGGCACAAAAACAUAAUGCUGAUGCUGAUGCUGAUCAUAAAUACUCAGACUAUUAUAAUGUCUUUGUCUCAGUAAAAUUCUUUUGGUCCUGUGAUUCCAUCUCAUUUUAAAGACAAUUUAAUGCACAAUUAAUCUUUGUCCCCUGCAUUUCUCGAACCACUUCUUUGUGUGUGCUAAUUUGUCAAGCAAAACUUUAACCAACACCUCUUGGAAAUUUAGAAUAGAGAAUUUUGAGGCAGUCAUUUGAUUUUCUUGGCAUUUACUUCCUUAAAGAAGUCAAAAAAUUAUCGAAGCAUGACUUUUUCAUUCCAGAGACUGCAUUGGCUAUCCUUAAUCAAGCUGUGCUUUUCUCAGUGUUCCCCAUUUAAUCUCCUAAAAUACUUCCUAAGACGUUGCCCCCUACAAUGGAAUCAAAACUAAAUGGUCUGUAAUUUCCUCAAGUGUUCCCAGAUCCUGUUGUAAAUAAUGACAUUGUGCUGGCCACUUUCCAGUCUGAAUGAAGUGACCUUGUAAAAAUGUCUGCUUACUCUUCUAUAACGUCUUUUUCUACUUUCUGUAGGGCUCUUGGAUAGAGCUUGGCAAACAAUACCUAUUCCAAGAAACACCAUUCUUCACCUCAGUGAUGUUAUUUCCUUCAUAUAGGCAGUACUGUAUCCAGAGCUAAAAGACUUUUGCUUAAAAGUUAAUUAGUAUUU